CCUCCGUUCUUCUGCCGUUCUUACUAUUUUUCCAUUUUCUUUAUCCUUAACCAGCCAAUCCGCGUGAGGGAUGAAGGUACAGAGUAUCGUAAACCUCUUUUGUCAGGGAACAAAGGCGGGGACGCGUCCCCGGAUGAGUGUACCUGAAGAAAAAGCAUCGGCUAACUCCGUGCCAGCAGCCGCGGUAAUACGGAGGAUGCGAGCGUUCUCCGGAUUUAUUGGGUUUAAAGGGUGCGCAGGCGGUCUGUUAAGUUAGCGGUCAAAGCCCGGGGCUCAACCCCGGCCCGCCGUUGAGACUGGCAGUCGCGAGUUGGAGAGAAGUAUGCGGAAUGCGCGGUGUAGCGGUGAAAUGCAUAGAUAUCGCGCAGAACUCCGAUUGCGAAGGCAGCAUGCCGGCUCCACACUGACGCUGAGGCACGAAAGCGUGGGUAUCGAACAGGAUUAGAUACCCGUGUAGUC
rnacentral:rRNA from 1 species